AUCCAUCUGACAAGUCCCACAUAAGAUGAAACGCUCGUCGUGGAU
rfam:Schistosoma rodhaini strain Burundi genome assembly, scaffold: SROB_scaffold0016138